GAUCAUGGCUCAGGACGAACGCUGGCGGCGUGCUUAACACAUGCAAGUCGAACGCUGAAGCCUAGCUUGCUGGGUGGAUGAGUGGCGAACGGGUGAGUAACACGUGAGUAACCUGCCCCCUUCUUUGGGAUAACGCCCGGAAACGGGUGCUAAUACUGGAUAUUCACUGAUCUUCGCAUGGGGGUUGGUGGAAAGGUUUUUUCUGGUGGGGGAUGGGCUCGCGGCCUAUCAGCUUGUUGGUGGGGUGAUGG
rnacentral:rRNA from 1 species